AGAGGAGUAGGGAUUGAAAGGCCAAAUAUGUCUGAACAUCUAGGCAACCUGGGUCUCCAGCUCAUGAGAAAGAUAUCAAGACCUGGAUCCCAGUGAUGGAUACAUGAGACAAAGAUUAGGGAAUGCUGAAGAUGUGUUCCCAUGAGUUCCUGCCUCCUUGUACCCCACUGAGUGGAAUGUUAAAAAUACGGAGAAAGCAAUUUCUACAGAUGCAGUCCCACCUCUGGCCAUGGCCAAAAUUAGCUGGAUAAUUCUUUGAAUCUGGCUAAUGUGGAAUCUUGCAAGGACAAAGAGGAUUUGCUCACGAACUGGAGCUAACUUCCUCUUAUAGUCUAUCCUCUGUGGAUUUGUGAGUCCACACAUUUUUACCUGUACAUGAACUUGGCUAUGAAUGUGCCUUGCCAAGGAUUACACUUGUUCAUCAUCACCAUGAGAGACAUUCCAGGGAGAUGAACGUGGUGGGAUGCAGGAAAGAAACACCUUCCUGGUAGAUGAUGGCAAAAUACAAUAGUAAGCAAGGGAAGAAUUAUCAUACCAAAUCAAUGAGGAUAUUUGCUGCCAAAGGCUUAGGCAUGGAGGCCAACUGGAUUCUCAUCCAUGACCCUGAUAGGACAUCCUGAACCCCAUUUAUGUUGUUUUAAGAGUGAUUCCAUAACCUCAAGAGAUCCUAGCCUGAUCUUGGCAGCCCUAUAUCCGGAGCUGGGAUGAGCUUUACAGCUACCUAUAGAAUGAGAAGGAAAAGACUCUGAAAG
rnacentral:lncRNA from 10 species